CUCUGUCUGUUUGUCUCCUGCUGCCAUGAUCCGUGUUGGGUGCAGGAAUUUCAGGGUAGGAUCCAGAGGCCCUCGUUGAAGCAUUGAAUGUACAAUAUCUUGGACCUGUGCUCCAUUGCUCAGCCUGAGAUGCUCCAUUGCCUCUUCUCCCUCUCAAGCAGGGAGGGAAUCUGUCACCCCUUCCCAAACUGUGACAUGUUUGUGUAGAGCUGAAGUGCUUCUUCUGAUGCUCUGUCAUCUUCCCCACACCACCUUUCUGAACCAUGAGCUGGAGAGCAACCUCUUUGGCAAUUAAACUCUGCUARCCAACUCCUUUCCCCCAGUCUUCCAACUGGCCAGGUGUUGUGGUGGGAACCCAACUUGGCUCUUUUGCAAGAGCUUGGCCCAGCAGGAGAAACAAGAGACCUGGUGCAUUGUAGGAAGAGGAGAAGCUCCUGAGGCUGGAGGUGAUCACAGCAGCUCUUCAAGCCCAGCAGCUCCUGGUUUCCAGCAGUGAAAGGGGGACCUGGCCCAGGAAGUUUGUGGGGACAUCCAGCUUCUGGUGUAUCUCUGGGUGUGGAAGAUGCCUUAGGAAUGAUUUCCAGUGCUUUUAUGCUUGUUUGGUGUUUCCUGAAAACUCUUUAAUUUGGCUGUACCUGGGUUCCAUUGUCAUCUCGGCACAGCAGGUGAGAGGAGUAAAUGUGUUGCUGCUUUUGUGUCCGGACCCUACAAGGACCUGCUGGCCACGCUGUGAAAUGGAGUGACAUCUUAUCCAGGGGAAUUCAGUCCAACAUAUAUGAUGCUCAUUUUCUAUAAAUAAGCUGCCCACAUAUGGCAGGGCACAAAAGGAAGAGGACAAUGUCAAAAGAUGUUUACUGAUUUCCCGAGGAGCAGUCAGUUUAAAUGAGAGCUCAGCUUAAAUGAAAGGCCACAACUUCCAGAAGAGCUUGCUCUCCUGAUGGAGGUCAGC